rnacentral:misc_RNA from 1 species
AACCAUUCUCACCUGCGGCUAGACCUGCGGAAGGAUCAUAACUGGUUAAACUUUAUAAACACCAGAGUUUCAAACUCUGUGUUUGCAAACAAAAAACACCCUUCAAAACAGCUAUUCAGUGUCUGAAUUAACUAGUUUAAUAUAAAAACAACUUUCAACAAUGGAUCU